UACGUAGGGGGCAAGCGUUGUUCGGAAUUACUGGGCGUAAAGGGCGCGUAGGCGGCACGGCAAGUCAGGAGUGAAAGGCCUGGGCUCAACCUGGGAAUUGCUUUUGAAACUGCCGAGCUAGAGUGCGGAAGGGGCAACUGGAAUUCCCAGUGUAGCGGUGAAAUGCGUAGAUAUUCGGAAGAACACCAGUGGCGAAGGCGACUUACUGGAUCAUUACUGACGCUGAGGCUCGAAAGCGUGGGGAGCAAACAGG
rnacentral:rRNA from 1 species